rnacentral:tRNA from 1 species
GCCGGCGUGGCGGAAUUGGCAGACGCGCUGGACUCAAAAUCCAGUGGCCGUUGAGGGCGUGCCGGUUCGA